rfam:Gossypium arboreum cultivar AKA8401 contig_20861_1, whole genome shotgun sequence.
UCUUAAAAAAUUCAGUCAUUUAUAUUGUUAAAAAUUGGCAUAGCUGAUAGAAUAAUCAAACAGUGACACAUAGCAUGUCAUGAGUACCUCAUCUUGACAUACUGGGACUAGUUUUUAACAACAAAAAUAGAUGAAAUCUUUAAUA